rnacentral:ncRNA from 2 species
GGGCCGAUCCGAAGCGAUGAACCGCCAUCUGUGAUUGGGCGCCUGGAUGACGGGGAGCGAGUGGCGCAACCGGCUGAUCGUGUU